rnacentral:rRNA from 1 species
AUUGAACGCUGGCGGCAGGCCUAACACAUGCAAGUCGAGCGAGCGGCGGGGGGGUGAGUAAUGCCUGGGAAUUGCCCAGUCGAGGGGGAUAACAGUUGGAAACGCCUGCUAUUCCCGCAUACGACUGGAUUCCGCAGGGGGGGUUUGGUAGUUGGUGGGGUAAUGGCUCACCAAGGCGACGAUCCCUAGCUGGUCUGAGAGGAUGAUCAGCAAAACUGGAACUGAGAACAGGCCCAGAUUCCUACGGGAGGCAGCAGUGGGGAAUAUUGGCAAAUGGGGGAAACCCUGAUGCAGCCAUGCCGGGUGUGGGAAGAAGGCCUUCGGGUUGUAAAGCCCUUUCAGCGAGGCGGCGUUACUCGCAGAAAAAGCACCGGCUAACUACGUGCCAGCAGCCGCGGUAAUUC